rnacentral:rRNA from 1 species
AUACGGAGGGUGCAAGCGUUAUUCGGAAUCACUGGGCGUAAAGGGUGCGUAGGCGGUUUGAUAAGUCUGAUGUGAAGUCCUAUGGCUCAACCAUAGAACUGCAUUGGAAACUGUCAGACUAGAAUACUGAAGGGGCAGAUGGAAUUAGUGGUGUAGGGGUAAAAUCCGUAGAUAUCACUAGGAAUACCGAAAGCGAAAGCGAUCUGCUGGGAAGUUAUUGACGCUGAGGCACGAAAGCGUGGGGAGCAAACGGGAUUAGAAACCCUAGUAGUCC